AUACUUACUGGCAGGGGAGAUACCAUGAUCAUGAAGGUGGUUUUCCCAGCAUGAGGCUCAUCCAUUGCACUCCAGAUGUUCUGAACCCUGCAAUUUCCCCAAACGUGGGAAAUUCAACUUCAUAAUUUGUGGUAGUGGGGGACUGUGUUUGCACUUUCCCCUG
ensembl:snRNA U1 U1 spliceosomal RNA